rnacentral:rRNA from 1 species
UACGCUCUACAACCCUUUGUGAACAUACCUAUAACUGUUGCUUCGGCGGGUAGGGUCUCCGCGACCCUCCCGGCCUCCCGCCUCCGGGCGGGUCGGCGCCCGCCGGAGGAUAACCAAACUCUGAUUUAACGACGUUUCUUCUGAGUGGUACAAGCAAAUAAUCAAAACUUUUAACAACGGAUCUCUUGGUUCUGGCAUCGAUGAAGAACGCAGCGAAAUGCGAUAAGUAAUGUGAAUUGCAGAAUUCAGUGAAUCAUCGAAUCUUUGAACGCACAUUGCGCCCGCCAGCAUUCUGGCGGGCAUGCCUGUUCGAGCGUCAUUUCAACCCUCAAGCUCUGCUUGGUGUUGGGGCCCUACAGCUGAUGUAGGCCCUCAAAGGUAGUGGCGGACCCUCUCGGAGCCUCCUUUGCGUAGUAACUUUACGUCUCGCACUGGGAUCCGGAGGGACUCUUGCCGUAAAACCCCCAAUUUUCCAAAGGUUGACCUCG